CUAAAUUGGUAUGCAAUAAUAUUAUGUAGAACAAAACAAUUAAGAUAAUAUCAACAAGUGUUCAACAUUUUUUUUUUUUUUUUACGUAACCUCUGUAUCUUCACUAAGCAAAUCUACGGGUAUAUACGAGAUAAUAGGAUUUGAUUAAUAUCUGAAUUUCAACAAACAAAUUAAAAAAUCUGAGCUGUAGACACAGAUUUUAAAUACACAGAGACUAUU